UUAUGGCUCAGGAUGAACGCUAGCGGCAGGCUUAACACAUGCAAGUCGAGGGGCAGCGCGGUUGUAGCAAUACGACUGGCGGCGACCGGCGAAAGGGUGCGUAACGCGUGAGCGACAUGCCCGUCACCGGGGUAUAACCGAUGGAAACGUCGACUAAUCCCCCAUAACAUCAGAGGAGGCAUCUUCUUUGGUUGAAAUUCACGGAGGUGACGGAUUGGCUCGCGUCUGAUUAGCUAGUCGGCGGGGUAACGGCCCACCGAGGCUACGAUCAGUAGGGGUUCUGAGAGGAAGGUCCCCCCACAAUGGAACUGAGACACGGUCCAUACUCCUACGGGAGGCAGCAGUGAGGAAUAUUGGUCAAUGGGCGGAAGCCUGAACCAGCCAUGCCGCGUGCAGGACGACGGCCCCUAUGGGUUGUAAACUGCUUUUGCUGCGGAGCAAUAAGGGCCUCGAGCAGGUCCGAUGAGAGUACGCAGCGAAUAAGCAUCGGCUAACUCCGUGCCAGCCGCAGC
rnacentral:rRNA from 1 species